CUAUAGUCCCAGCUGAGGCAGGAGAAUCUCUUAAGCCCAAGAGUUUGAGCUUACUGUGAGCUGUGAUGCCACAACACUCUACCAGGGGGUGACAAAGUGAGACUUUGUCUCUAGAAUAAAAUAAAUAUGAAAUGUAGCCUUCUGAGCCUCGGUCCUUCACCCCCUCCCACUGAGCCUGUUCCCAUCUACUGACCAGAGUCUGUGAAUUCUCCAUUCUGAUUCCAUCCGCCCUUCCCCCACCCCAGCUAUCCAUUGUUUGAAAACUCUAAGAAUAAUCUCACUGCAUCAGUUUUUACUAGAACCAAUCACCUGUCAUGCCUGGAACAAGGAUCGUACCCAAAUUGCCCUUAGCCCCAAUAAUCACGAAGUGCAUAUCUUUAAGAAAAAUGAGAGCCAGUGGAUAAAAGCUCAUGAACUCAAGGAGCACAACAGACAUAUCACAGGUAUUGACUGGGCUCCCAAAAGCGACCGCAUCGUCCCUUGUGGGGCAGACUCAAUCCCUAUGUCUGGAGUCAGAAAGAUGGUGUCUGGAAGCCAACUCUGGUGAUUCUGAGAACUAAUCACACAGCCACUUUUGUGAAUUGGUCCCCCUAAGAGAACAAAUUUGCUUUGAGAAGUGGACCAUGACUCAUUUCUGUUUGUUACUUCGAGUCUGAAAAUGGCUGGUGAGUAAGCACACACAUUAAAAAGACGAUUCGCUCCACAGUCAAUCCUCAGCUUGGAUUGGCAUCCCAACAAUGUGGCAAAUGAGUUAUAACAAUGUGACUUCAAAUGCAGAGUGUUUUCUGCCUAUAUUAAAGAAGUGGAUGAAAAGCCAGUGAGGUAUACCCUGGGGCAGCCAGUUGCCUUUUGAUCAGCUGAUGUCAGAGUUAGGGGGCAGUUGCACAGGUGGCUGGGUCCAUGGGGUCAGCUUCUCCGCCAGUGGGAGCCGCCUGGCCUGUCAUGACAGCACCGUGUCUGUUGCUGAUGCUUCAAAAAGUGUACGGGUCUCAACUAUGAAAACAGAGUUCCUAUCACUCCUGAGUGUGUCAUUUGUCUCAGAGAAUAGGGUCAUGGCUGCUGGCCAAUGCUCUUUAACUACGAUGAUCGCGGCUGCUUGACCCUUGUGUCCAAGUUAGACAUUCCAAAACAGAGCAUCCAGCGCAACAUGUCUGCCAUGAAACGUUUCCGCAACAUGGACAAGAGGGCCAUGACCGAGGACUGUAAUACAGCCCUGGAGAAGCUGCACCCGAAUAGCAUCACUCAAGUGUCUACUUAUGAGGUGAACAAGCAAGACUGUCGCAAAUUUUGCACUACUGGCAUUGACGGAGCCAUGACAAUUUGGGAUUUCAAGACCUUAGAAUCUUCUAUCCAGGGCAUCCGGAUAAUGUGAAGCUGAGUGAGCCGCUGCCAUCCAGAAUGACAAACAGUCGCUGACCGCAGCUCUGCCAUUGGAUGGAGAGGAAAGCCAGCCACAAGGAAACACUGAAAACACAUAUCAUACAAAUAUUGUGUGGUUUUGUUUGAGUAUAAAAAUGGUGAAAGUAUUGGUUUUUUUAAACAAGCAGUGAUUUUUUUUUUUUUUUUUUUGCUAUUUCAUUCCAUUCUUGACCAAAGCUUCUCUUUAAGUAGUUUAUUUUGGAGAAUUGUCACACUAACUUAAAGGAAAGAGUGAGGGAGAUAUGUAAAUUUGUCCAGUAGAAAAUUAAAUUAAA